AGCAUUGUUUGAACAUGUAUAUAAGUGCAUGUGGGCGCGAACCACAUAUUUUAGCAAUGCAUGAUUUUUUCAAUAUGGGGAAGUUUUCCCGUUCGAACUUCCUGGUCGUAUUAGCUGUUGUGAGUGUUAUUGUUCUGACGAUAGAAAAUCGAGGUCCGCCAUUUGCCCUCGCUUCUCCACUUCCUGGGUGUUGUGGAAAUUUACAUCGCAAGAAGCGUCAAGCUUCGGGAAAACAAGAAAUACCAAAGUAUACGCCUCACCCCGCUCCGACAAUUAUUCAUUUUGAUCGAGGACAGCACCAUACACAACAUAGAGCACGACGCACCUCUACAAGCGACGGAACUCAAGACACGAACCACGGCGCCAAGCCCCACCACAGAGAGAUAUAUCACACACGACUCCGGUAAUAAUUUUGAUCAAGGACUGCAGCCGGAACAACAAGAACGACAACGCUCAUCUAUAAACCUGACCGCUCAACUCAUGGGUGAUCCCAUAUAGCACAUUAUGGUAAACAAGUUUCGGCCUGACAAUGCACACGCUACGGGAACUGCUAGUUUUCUCGCAAGAAUUUACAAAACGUACUUUCUCAUUAAUAAUUUUUAUUAUCGGGGGUCUUCAGGAAUAUCCUGGAUAUAAACUUUAAGGCCAACGUUGUUUACAAGAAAGUAUGAGUACUUUGGAACAAUAAAAUUGCUUUUGAAGUCGCAGUUUCUUUCCCAAACAAUUCUUCAGAAACAGGAUGAAGGCUUGUGGAGCAUUUGCUUCAAGUCUGUAGGUAUUUUUCAGUAAUCCGGUAAUGUCAUGUGGUAAUGAAUCAAAGCAGCAUCACUUACCCGCAAGUAAAUCUUGAUAUCUUCAUACCAUUUCUGCAACCAAAUCGGGCUCAUCUAGACACGCGAUAUUUAGUUGUAAACUAAAGAAAAUAAGUGAAAACGGGAGCGUAAAUAAAUAACUGGUAGCAACCCCAGGCACGCAAAUGCCACAACUCCAUAAGAAAAUCUACAAAUCACGGUAUUCGCGACAUACCGGUUAAAUUUUAAACCUUACAAAGCGGCGUACGCUUGCGAUACUAUGUGAAUUCUCAGCUUCAAAAGCAUCAACGCUUGCAUUCUUGUUUGAUAUCGUUUGGCAAUGUUAUUAUUUUCAUUUAUAUUAUUAAAAUAUCGCAGUUAUUGUAACUGUCUAUGGGUACAGUUGCACAGCGCCUAAAAAGACACGGAUAUGACGUGUUUCUAUACAGCUGUAAAGUGCGCGGCCCAGACUUUCGGUCUAUUAUUGAUGGUACGUCAUGCUAUUAUAAACAGAGUGUCAAUUUAAUAAUUGGUCAUAACGCGAUGGUGAAACGCGUAUGCUCAGAAGCAAUGACAGUUUUGCUGCUCAUUCACUAAUAAACUCCAUAAAUGUGCAAAGUCUUUCCUUGCUAUAUGCAGGAGAGCAGGGCGCAUCACACUUGCAUACUCAUGUUCGCAGGUGAGCAAACGCGUGAAAACGACGUGAGGUGACCCGUGGCGCCACAAAGCGGUGACUGUUGCCGGGAUCACCGUCGAACACGUGACGGAAACGUGCCAGGAACGCAGUAUCGUCUUUAACACCCUUAUAAGCGUACAGGCUGCAAAACAUUUCUUUCCACAGAAGUACUGACUGACAAAUACAAUGUCCAAAAUACAAAAAUACAAAUACAAAAAAGUACAAUGUCAAUGAUGUAAAUGUACAAUGAUGGCAGCGCUCUCAGACGAGCUCAGUACGAAUUUACUGUCACCUUCUUCGACAGCAAACUUUAAGAAAAGUCGCAGUUUCGCCCGGAAGACGAAGCAUCCAAUGCCAUAGUAAGCUAGCGGACAGCUAUACGUAGUAAGGAUAACAGCUUUAUCGGCCGUGUAAACUUGGAACUAGGAAGCGCGGCAGCAGCGAGCGAAUUGACCUUCGUGCUGCGUCUCGCAUCAACGCGAACUAAGCCGCUAAAACACAGCGCACGGUGGACUGUGUCCCCGACGCAGAAGGCUGUCAAGAUACAGCGGCCCGGGCGGGCGCGCGCGGCCACCGGAGCCGCCCGGAGUAGAGAAUAAAGUUUUUUCCCCCUCCUCCUCCCGGAGUAGAACGCCU